CAUCAGGCAACAGUUUUUGCUUCUGAAUGUCAGUUUGUUGAUGUUCAAACUGACAUUCAGAAGCAAAAACUGUUGCCUGAUGAUUGCCUUU
rnacentral:miRNA from 1 species